ensembl:lncRNA novel transcript, sense intronic to ZNF404
GGAAUGGCUGGGUCAUAUGGUAACUCUUUUGAGGAACUGCCAGAUUAUUAUCGAAACUCACUUCUUUCUAUUCCUCUGGGCCACAUGGGAACUUCAGUCUUUAUAAUUUCAGAGAUAGUAACAUCUGAGAACGUGGCAGCAUCCUCUACUGUGUGGAGCACUGAUCACUGCACUAUUUCAGACGGACUUGUAAAUGAUUGUGAUACUGAAAAGCUACAGGAGCAGACUCUUUAUGAUCAACUCUUUAAAUUCAAAAUAUGAUUUCUAGAGCUUUUUUAUCCCUUAAUGUGACCCUCUAGAGAGGCCCUGGAGUGUUUGAAUUUAUGAAGGAUUUCUUUGAGAUUCAUUGAUCAUUCCAUUCUGUUUUCCUUGAAGCAUCAUUUUCUUGGUCCCUCGGGUGGCUUUCAUUUGGCCUUUCUUGUAUGGAACCUCUCUGCCACAGGAUUGUACUGGAAUUUUUCAAAAGCCUCAGCAUGCCAAAGUCCCAUUUCUUUUUUCAUAUGCAGAUAUUUCCUGCAUGUUGGAAACAAUUGAUUUUUUAACCAAAAUGGCUUAUUUCUAAGGUAGGUGCAAUUCCUGAACUGGAGCAGGGAGUCCAGUCCUCAUAGGUGGAGAGUGUAGUGACAAGAGGAUUUAUCCAAGUGACUUAGGGAAAACCAGUAAAAGGAAAACUGUUGUAUAUCAGUAUUCAAAACUCAGAGCCUUGAUAUUCUAAUUUGAGACAACUCAAAGACUUUAGGACUUGGGAGAAAACAAGGCCUCCUCACCGUACUCCAAAUAUCACUGUAUUCAUAACUUAUUUUAUUACAUUCUCUAAUAUUAGAUUGAUUAGCUCUAUUAUCAUUUUUUACUAUAAAAGUAAUACAUUCU